rnacentral:tRNA from 1 species
GGAGGGGUGGCAGAGCGGCUGAUUGCGGCGGUCUUGAAAACCGCUAGACGCCUCGGCGUCUCGGGGGUUCGAAUCCCUCCCCCUCCGCCA